rnacentral:miRNA from 1 species
GGGAUACUCGAUAAUAUGCAGGGUCUGAGUCAGUAGGUCUGGGAUGGGUCCUGAGAUUCUGCAUUUGUAACAAGCUC